GACAGAGGUGCCAAGCGUUAGGCGGAAUCACUGGGCUUAAAGCGUGUGUAGGCGGGCGAUCAAGUACCUUGUGAAAUCCCACGGCUCAACCGUGGAACUGCUGGGUAUACUGGUUGUCUUGAGCCAGCUAGGGGCGAGCGGAACAGACGGUGGAGCGGUGAAAUGCGUAGAUAUCAAGAGGAACACCAGUGGCGAAGGCGAGUCCCUGGACAACUUCUGACGCUGAGGCACGAAAGCUAGGGGAGCAAACAGG
rnacentral:rRNA from 1 species